UCGUCCCAAUGAAAAUAUUCAAUGCACUAUCUAUGUAUUGCGAAACUUAAAAAUCUUCUCGCAAUGUUGGUAAAUGUUAUACGGAACUCUACAAGUACGUUUGUGAAUGCUGGCAAUGUAAACAUCGCAAAUGUGUACCGAAAGAUGUGAGAAAAUCUUAAAAGAGAGAAAUACUCGUAUAAUGGCAACAAACAUGCUAAACAAAUUACGCAAUUAAAUUGAUGAGUUGGCGAAGGGGAGAGACUCAGGCCAAGGGGCUGCUGUGUAUACGAAAUGAGAAGUAAACUUUUAAGGGGCUGAUUUCAAAAACACGUUGUGCUAUAGCUGGGCAUAAUUACAUACAUAUGUAUGUAUGUACAUACAUAUAUUAAGGUCGGUGUGCUUGCUUGUAUACGAUUACCCCGGCAUGUGUUGUGCUUCGAACAAGUUUUCGAUAUUAUUUGUUGUUGUUGAGUAAUAUUAAUUCAUAUUUAAGUUUCUCAUUCAAAAAACAGCAAAAUUGGUUUGGAAUUAAUUUAAACAUCCAAAAUCAGAAGAAUUUAAAUCCUUGUGUGUACAUAUUACAAUAUAUGGUCUGAGUCUGUGCCAGAUGCAAGAUACUAAAUACUACAUAGAGUACUUGAGGCUCUUGAUGCGGUUAUGAGGAAACCUACGCCAGUUGGAAUGCAAACAAUUCAAGUAUGUGAGCCAAUAUCUACGUUCACUUAAGAAGAUAGGAGAAACUGCUAAUAAUGACGUUAACUUCCGCUUGUGUGCAGUGUAAACGGAAUGAAAAGCUAAAUGUCGUCAUAAACAGCUCACAAACAUCACAGAGUCAAGUUCAAGCGAAAGAGUGGGUGGACAAAACUCGCUCGAGUCCAACGCGUUUUGCUGGCAACAUUUUUAACGAAUUCCCGAGGCAACAGCUGCUGUUGUCAGUGUGUGUGUGGGCUUAAGCUGAAAAGUGCUUAACAAGCGCAACUUGCUACGAUUGUCAUUGCAACGUGUUGGGCUGCCGCAUUGCAACAUCUUGUGUGUUAUUUAAUUUUUAAGUUGACGCGAAGAAAGCAAUUUUUAAUAUUUAUAAAAAAGUAAAAGGUUUCCAUAUAAGAAUCUGAAAGCUAAAAACAUGUAAAAUUAAAAAAAAAUAGCUUUCAAUUGAGGAGCUAACAUAUUCCAUUUAAAUUAAAUGAUUUUUUCAAUAUGCAAUUGCAAAUUACAUUAAGUUCGGAAAAAUUAAUAUUU